CCGUAGGUGAACCUGCGGAAGGAUCAUUAUCGAAUAUAAACUUGGGUAGACUGUUGCUGGCUUCUCUUCGAGAGGGGCAUGUGCACGUUUAUCCUCUUUAUUUUUCCACCUGUGCACCUUUUGUAGGCUUGGAUUAUCAGUGGUUCUAAUGUGUCUUUUCAAAAGGCAUAAGAAUUGUUUUGGGACUGCUGUGUUUAAACGCAUGUUUAUCGGCUUUCCCUUUUAUUUUCCAAGUCUAUGUUUGCUAUAUACACUCCAGAAAUGUAAUAGAAUGCUGUACUUUAGGUCAUUCGUACCUAUAAUAAAAUCAGUACAACUUUCAGCAACGGAUCUCUUGGCUCUCGCAUCGAUGAAGAACGCAGCGAAAUGCGAUAAGUAAUGUGAAUUGCAGAAUUCAGUGAAUCAUCGAAUCUUUGAACGCACCUUGCGCUCCUUGGUAUUCCAAGGAGCAUGCCUGUUUGAGUAUCAUUAAAUUAUCAACUGUACCAAUUUGGUUGCAGAUUGGAUGUGGGAGAUUUUGCAGGCUUUUGAUUUCUCUUUGAGAAAAAAGGGUCAGCUCUCCUGAAAUAUAUUAGCAGUGCCUUUGUUGGUUCAUUAGGUGUGAUAAUUUAUYUACAUCUUCACAUGGUACCUUCAUUUGUAAAAGGUCAUAUUGCUUCUAAUUGUCUUUGGACAAAAAAAACAUAUAAUGUAUGGAAAACUUGAUCUCAAAUCAGGCAGGACUACCCGCUGAACUUAA
rnacentral:rRNA from 1 species